rnacentral:rRNA from 1 species
AUGAAUAUGGCGACUUGCAUUCGUAAGGUGGCCUUAGAGGAGUUUGGAGUGUCCAGGGGAAGGAGAAGCGAAGAUAAGGAUACCUGGUGGUGGAAUGAUGAUGUCCAGAAGGCGCUUAAAGAGAAGAAAGAUUGCUUCAGACGCCUAUACCUGGAUAGGAGUGCAGACAACAUAGAGAAGUACAAGAUGGCGAAGAAGGCCGCAAAGCGAGUUGUUGGUGAAGCAAGGGGUCGGGCAUAUGAGGACCUCUACCAACGGUUAGGCACGAAGGAAGGUGAAAGGGACAUCUAUAAGAUGGCUAAGAUCCGGGAGAGGAAGAAGAGGGAUAUUGGCCAAGUCAAAUGCAUCAAGGACGGAGCAGGCCAACUCUUGGUGAAGGACGAAGAGAUUAAGCAUAGAUGGCGGGAGUACUUCGACAAGCUGUUCAAUGGGGAGAAUGAGAGUUCUACCAUUGAACUGAAUGACUCCUUUGAUGAGACCAGCAUGCGUUUUGUGCGGCGCAUCCAGGAGUCUGAGGUGAAGGAGGCUUUAAAAAGGAUGAAAGGAGGCAAGGCGAUGGGCCCUGAUUGUAUCUCCAUUGAGGUGUGGAAAGGUCUCGGGGACAUAGCGAUAGUAUGGCUAACCAAGCUUUUCAACCUCAUUUUUCGGGCAAACAAGAUGCCAGAAGAAUGGAGACGGAGUAUAUUAGUACCAACCUUCAAGAACAAGGGGGAUGUUCAGAGUUGUACUAAUUACCGUGGAAUUAAGCUGAUGAGCCAUACAAUGAAGCUAUGGGAGAGAGUCAUUGAGCACCGCUUAAGAAGAAUGACAAGCGUGACCAAAAAUCAGUUUGGUUUCAUGCCUGGGAGGUCGACCAUGGAAGCCAUUUUCUUGGUACGACAACUUAUGGAGAGAUAUAGGGAGCAUAAGAAGGACUUGCAUAUGGUGUUCAUUGACUUGGAGAAGGCCUAUGAUAAGAUACCGCGGAAUGUCAUGUGGUGGGACUUGGAGAAACACAAAGUCCCAGCAAAGUACAUUACCCUCAUCAAGGACAUGUACAAUAAUGUUGUGACAAGUGUUCGAACAAGUGAUGUCGACACCGAUGACUUCCCGAUUAAGAUAGGACUGCAUCAGGGGUCAGCUUUGAGCCCUUAUCUUUUUGCAUUGGUGAUGGAUGAGGUCACAAGGGGUAUACAAGGAGAUAUCCCAUGGUGUAUGCUCUUUGCGGAUGAUGUGGUGCUAGUUGAUGAUAGUCGGACGGGGGUAAGUAGGAAGUUAGAGUUAUGGAGACAAACUUUGGAAUCGAAAGGGUUUAGGCUUAGUAGAACUAAAACCGAGUACAUGAUGUGCGGUUUCAGUACUACUAGCUGUGAGGAGGAGGAGGUUAGCCUUGAUGGCCAGGUGGUACCUCGGAAGGACACAUUUCGGUAUUUGGGGGCAAUGUUGCAGGAGAAUGGGGGUAUUGAUGAAGAUGUGAACCAUCGAAUCAAAGCCGGAUGGAUGAAGUGGAGCCAAGCUUCUGGCAUUCUCUGUGACAAGAGAGUGCCACAAAAGCUAAAAGGCAAGUUCUACAGGACGGCGGUUCGACCCGCAAUGUUGUAUGGCGCGGAGUGUUGGCCGACUAAAAGGCGACAUGUUCAACAGUUUGGUGUGGCAGAGAUGCGUAUGUUGAGAUGGAUGUGUGGCCACACGAGGAAGGAUCGAGUCCGGAAUGAUGAUAUACGAGAUAGAGUUGGGGAAGCACCAAUUGAGGAGAAGCUUGUCCAACAUCGUUUGAGAUGGUUUGGGCAUAUUCAGCGCAGGCCUCUAGAAGCUCCAGUGCCUAGCAGACGGCUAAAGCGUGCGGAGAAUGUCAAGAGAGGGCGGGGUCGACCGAUUUUGACAUGGGAGGAGUCCGUUAAGAGAGACCUGAAGGAUUGGAGUAUCGACAAAGAGCUAGCUAUGGACAGGGGUGCGUGGAAGCUUGCUAUCCAUGUGCCAGAGCCAUGA